ensembl:lncRNA
GAAAUGACCUGAGAGAUCGCCUGAGGUUCCUGACAGAGAGAUCCAAGAACAACAGGCCACACUUCAGGCCAAAUCCAUAUUAUGAAGACCUGGAGAGAAUGGAGGAGGAGGUCAUGUCAAUUCUGCACAACUUAGAGAUGGAGAACACUGAGAUCCAUGAGAACAACCAUAAGCUGAAGAAGGAGAUUACCUUCUCUAGAAAUCUGCUCAGCCAGCUCCUGAUGGAGAACACAUGUAGGAAGAAGUUGGUCCCACGGAAGCAGGGGAGCAAGGAGGUACAUCUUGAGUGUGCACUGAACCAGAAAUAUUUGGUUGACUUCAACAAGAAAGAUAAAGACCAGCAACGUCCAGACCCAGCAUCAUCUGGUCUCAGAAAGUGCAAGAGAGCUGGAAUUGCACACACAGCAGUAAGAGAGCUUCCUGAAGAAUAAGUUGCUUUCUCAGGAGUCCCUGAUGACAAACAUCCUGAAUGAAAACAGCACUUGAGAGACAGCUUGGGGGACCGCCUUUCAUUAUGUGUGCAAGAGGAGAAACAGCAAUACAUCUGUGCUUCUAAAUGUUCGUUAAGAAUGUGCUGUUUAGAAAUAUAUUUGUUAGGAUUUUAAUUGAAAUUUUCUUUUUGUUGUUUCAUAUUUAUAUGUUCUUGUUACUGUUUUUCACUUUUCAAAUAUUUUAAAUAUUUUAAUUUAUUCGUUUUAAUUCCGUU